rnacentral:tRNA from 1 species
GGUGGCUUAGUGGUAGAGCACUUGCCUUGCAUGCAUGAGGCCCUGGGUUCGAUUCCUCAGUACCA